AGAGUUGAUCAUGGCUCAGGAUGAACGCUGGCGGCGUGCUUAACACAUGCAAGUCGAACGAAGCAAUUCUACGAUCCCUCGGGGUGACGAGUAUUGACUGAGUGGCGGACGGGUGAGUAACGCGUGGGUAACCUACCUGUACAGGGGGACAACAGUUGGAAACGACUGCUAAUACCGCAUAAGCGCACGGAAUCGCAUGAUUCAGUGUGAAAAGUUUUUUCGGUACAAGAUGGACCCGCGUCUGAUUAGCUAGUUGGUGAGGUAACGGCUCACCAAGGCGACGAUCAGUAGCCGACCUGAGAGGGUGACCGGCCACAUUGGGACUGAGACACGGCCCAAACUCCUACGGGAGGCAGCAGUGGGGAAUAUUGCACAAUGGGCGCAAGCCUGAUGCAGCCGACGCCGCGUGAGCGAAGAAGUAUUUCGGUAUGUAAAGCUCUAUCAGCAGGGAAGAUAAUGACGGUACCUGACUAAGAAGCACCGGCUAAAUACGUGCCAGCCGCUGC
rnacentral:rRNA from 1 species